GGCAUGGCUGAGACAGAAGCUCCUGGUGCUGGGAAGCCUUGCCGUUGGGAGUCUCCUGUAUCUAGUCGCCAGAGUUGGGAGCUUGGAUAGCAAUUGCCAGAACAGUUUCCACUAAAGCUGAUGGAGCCUUGUGAGAGCACUGCUUGGGGUGCUGCCCCUGGAACAAGAGCCCUGCUGGAGGACAAGCUCCAGGACCAGUGAAAAACUCCUGGGAUGCUGCUAAGGGAAGCUGAAUCAUCUGCCACCCCAUAUGGUUACAUGAAAGUCCUGAGCAGACUGACAAGAAAAACUAGAGAAAUUUCUCAAAUCAUAUGUGGAAAGAAAACAUACAAGAACAUCUAAGACUGGAAGAGUGAGUGGAGCUGAAAUAUAUGGAAAGUGACGACCAGUUCUAUAAAUAUCAAGAGAAAAUAAAAGUCACAUGAAGAGGGACACUCAAGUCCUACGUCUCUCAGUCCCUCAGAAAUAAAAUAAUCCUGGCUAUCACCGAUCCUAAGCUAUGCCAAGCCUGCCUGGGAGCCACUUGUUGGAAUGCCUGCGCGGGGCCUUGAAGGAAUAAUUGUUCUCAAAAAAGGCCAGCUGGGGGCUUCCCUGGUGGCGCAGUGGUUGAGAGUCCGCCUGCCGAUGCAGGGGACACGGGUUCGUGCCCCCGUCCGGGAAGAUCCCACAUGCCGCGGAGCGGCUGGGCCCAUAAGCCAUGGACGCUGGGCCUGCGCGCGUCCGGAGCCUGUGCUCCGCAACGGGAGAGGCCACAACAGUGAGAGGCCCGCGUACCGCAAAAAAAAAAAAAAAGAAAAGAAAAAGGCCAGCUGUUUACAUUGCCAUUUCCCACAGGGGUUCUGCUGCUCAGGAAGGCCGCGCUCUGCUGGUCCUUUAUUGGCAUCCAUCCUAUCCGUUGCUGCAUCAUGGGCCACAGAAUGUCUGUGUGAAGACGGUUUUCACCACAGCACAAAAGCACCAUCUUACGAUCACAUUUUUGCAAUCUGAUGGAGGAUUUGAGUGGCACAAGAUUCAAUAACUGCCAGAGGCAAGUGCAGUAAACCUAGAGAAAUAAAUCAAAAGGAAAAGAAGGGUCGUGGGGGAGUGACUUUAAUCACAUGCAUUAAGAUUGGUAACAUUUCUUAGUUCUUCUUGGUAGGAUUCUCAGUCUUUGUCUGAGAAAGACAGUGCUUACGGCCUUCCCCCUGGGAAUUCAUAUUCUGCUAUUGUCUGCAGGUCAAGGUGAAAGUCAGCGUUGAAAGAACCAGCCAUAAAUCUAAUAAGUGGCAAAGAAACAGACGGUUUUUAUGGAAAACACAGGCAGACUGUACAACAAUGACAAGACUAACCCUGUUUACUGAGCACUGGCUAGGAAAAGUUGGACAGCAUUGAUUUCAAAGGUGAGGUGGUCUGAAACGUGCAACGAGGAGUUUAAGCCCCAUGGUUUCUGGACUGUGGGAAAAAGAGCAGCCUCUUCCAGAGAUUACAGGAGAAUUCGACCUGGAAGGAAUAGGAGAAGAUGGAAUUUAAGGUGAGAAGGUUGAGAGUGUAAGAAGGCUAAUUAGGUACCGGUUACGGUAACACUAGACACAAUGCUUAAACAGAUAAGCCCCAAAUUUUCAGUGGCUCGUUCUCUCAUAGCCAGGUUAACAGUCCAGAGCAGAUAUUCUGCACUGGCUACACCUUUCUCUAUACAGGAGCUCAGAGACCUAAGCUCCUUCCAUCUUAUGACUCUGCCAACCCCUAAGGCUGAAGACGCUUUCCCAUUCAAACAGGCGUAAGGGAGGGAGCAGGGAAGGCAGAGAUUCUUUUCAAAAGCACUUUUGGGAAGUGACAUAAAUCUCCUCCUCAUUCCAUUGGUGAGAACUAGUCACGUGGCCACAUCUGGAUGCAGGAAGGACUAGAGGAUGCAGUCCCAGCCGGGCAGCAGCCUCCCGUGACAUCUCUACCCUACGAAGGGAAGCUGAGUGUUGGGGAGCAGCUGGCCUUUUGCUUCUCGUGCCACUGCUACAGGAGCUUCUUAGCCUUCUCUUACAAAUAUUGGUGCUCUUCACAGUGCUGUCCCAGGCCUCCUCUCUUCUCACUUUGCACAUUCUUCCCCAGUGAUCUCAUCCUCAUGGCUUUGAUUGAUUUUCAGCUAUCUGCUGCUGACUCCCAGAUCUCCAUCUCCAGCUACUCACUCACAACUCAAAACCCCUCAGGGCUCUCAUAACUCUGAGGUUAAUUUGCACUGUAACUACAGUUAUCCCUUUACCCUUCUGCCUGUAUCCCCCUGCUUUUCCUGAAGAACUAGAGCCCUGGCUCAAAAAUGAUGACUGAGCAUCUAAUCAUCACUGUAAUCAAUCUCAUUAUAUUACCAGGGUUUUUAAAGCUGUGGAUCACGACCCAUUAUUGGGACUAGAAUUAAUUGGGGGAGUUACAACUAGUUUUCUCAAGAAUGGAACAUGGAAUACAAUGGAAUAGAAAUAGCCCAAUGCUUGUCUCCCUGGUAAAAAAAUGGAAGACGCAUCCAUGGAGUGAGCAGCCUGGGAACUCCUGAGAACUCCCUUUACAGUCGCCAUUGCAAAGCCUCUCACAUGUGACAGAGGAUGAGAGAUAGGUUCCAGCUCCUGCACCUGCCUCAGCAGGCAGCUUUGGAUGACAAAUAGCGGCAAACACACAUCUUCAGCCCUGCAAUCACUUAAGAGGAAUUCCUUCCCUCUUCUCUGCCACUUGAAGCAGCCCAUCUGGAAGCAGCCCACCAAAGCAUGAGCAGGGCUCACUGGAAUGGCUAGCUCAUCCUUACUCCUCCUAUCGCUUUGUUUGUUUAUGUUUUUCAUGGUAGAAACAUUAAGGAGCUGACGAGUUUUGACUACUGACCACUGGACUCUACUUACCCAUUAACUAGAUUAUGCACCACUCCUGACUUAGUGCUUUGAAUUUAGCAUACACAGAACGACUUCCCUUGGGGAAGGGUGACUGGGACAGGAUGGGUUCUGGGGGACUCCCUCAUGAGGAUCUCUGAAUUCCCAUCACUUGAAGGUCUAGAGAGCCUGAUCUUCCACCAGUCCCAAGGCUACUUCCAAUUCCUGUCCCUGGAGUGUGUGAUGCUUCUUUGAGAAAAAAGUGUUAAAGUAUUUUAUAGCAAAGAAAUGGCCUUUUGCACAGUUAAUAGCAGUUUCAGUCCCUAGAUAUAAAGCCAUCAUAUUAUUUGAGUUUGCCACCCUUCGUUUUGUAAAACUUAAUGGGAUUACUUAUACAAAAAUAAAGCUAGUAACCAUCCAUUGUUUUCAGAGAUUAGUUUGAGGUUACCUUAAAUCUGUGACAGAUACUA